AACGAACGCUGGCGGCAUGCCUAACACAUGCAAGUCGAACGAGACCUUCGGGUCUAGUGGCGCACGGGUGCGUAACGCGUGGGAACCUGCCCUUAGGUUCGGAAUAACUCCCCGAAAGGGGUGCUAAUACCGGAUAAUGUCUUCGGACCAAAGAUUUAUCGCCUUUGGAUGGGCCCGCGUUGGAUUAGCUAGUUGGUAGGGUAAAAGCCUACCAAGGCGACGAUCCAUAGCUGGUCUGAGAGGAUGAUCAGCCACACUGGGACUGAGACACGGCCCAGACUCCUACGGGAGGGAGCAGGGGGGAAUAUGGAACAAUGGGCGAAAGCCUGAUCCAGAAAGGCCGGGGGAGUGAUGAAGGCCUUAGGGUUGAAAAGCUCUUUUACCCGGGAUGAUAAUGACAGUCCCGGGAAAAUAAGCCCCGGCUAACUCCGU
rnacentral:rRNA from 1 species